GCACAAGCGGUGGAGCAUGUGGUUUAAUUCGACGCAACGCGCAGAACCUUACCAGGGUUUGACAUCCUGAGACCGCUCCUGAAAGGGAGUUUCCCGCAAGGGCUCAGAGACAGGUGCUGCAUGGCUGUCGUCAGCUCGUGUCGUGAGAUGUUGGGUUAAGUCCCGCAACGAGCGCAACCCCCGCCUUUAGUUGCCAUCAUUAAGUUGGGCACUCUAGAGGGACCGCCGGCGACAAGCCGGAGGAAGGUGGGGAUGACGUCAAGUCCUCAUGGCCCUUACACCCUGGGCUACACACGUGCUACAAUGGCGGUGACAGUGAGCAGCUAACUCGCGAGAGUAUGCUAAUCUCAAAAAACCGUCCCAGUUCAGAUUGCACUCUGCAACUCGAGUGCAUGAAGGUGGAAUCGCUAGUAAUCGCAGAACAGCAGGCUGCGGUGAAUACGUUCCCGGGC
rnacentral:rRNA from 1 species